UACGUAGGGUGCAAGCGUUAAUCGGAAUUACUGGGCGUAAAGCGUGCGCAGGCGGUUAUGUAAGACAGCUGUGAAAUCCCCGGGCUCAACCUGGGAACUGCAUUUGUGACUGCAUAGCUAGAGUACGGUAGAGGGGGAUGGAAUUCCGCGUGUAGCAGUGAAAUGCGUAGAUAUGCGGAGGAACACCGAUGGCGAAGGCAAUCCCCUGGACCUGUACUGACGCUCAUGCACGAAAGCGUGGGGAGCAAACAGG
rnacentral:rRNA from 1 species